GACGAACGCUGGCGGCGUGCCUAACACAUGCAAGUCGAGCGAUGAAGUUUCUUCGGAAACGGAUUAGCGGCGGACGGGUGAGUAACACGUGGGUAACCUGCCUUAUAGAGGGGAAUAGCCUUUCGAAAGAGAGAUUAAUACCGCAUAAGAUUGUAGCUUCGCAUGGAGCAGCAAUUAAAGGAGCAAUCCGCUAUAAGAUGGACCCGCGGCGCAUUAGCUAGUUGGUGAGGUAAUGGCUCACCAAGGCCACGAUGCGUAGCCGACCUGAGAGGGUGACCGGCCACAUUGGGACUGAGACACGGCCCAGACUCCUACGGGAGGCUG
rnacentral:rRNA from 1 species